rnacentral:rRNA from 1 species
CAGCCGCCGCGGGAAAACAGAGGGUGCAAGCGUUAAUCGGAAUUACUGGGCGUAAAGCGCGCGUAGGUGGUUUGUUAAGUUGGAUGUGAAAGCCCCGGGCUCAACCUGGGAACUGCAUCCAAAACUGGCAAGCUAGAGUACGGUAGAGGGUGGUGGAAUUUCCUGUGUAGCGGUGAAAUGCGUAGAUAUAGGAAGGAACACCAGUGGCGAAGGCGACCACCUGGACUGAUACUGACACUGAGGUGCGAAAGCGUGGGGAGCAAACAGGAUUAGAUACCCGCGUAGUCCCUGUCUCUUAUAC